CCUACGGGAGGCAGCAGUGAGGAAUAUUGGUCAAUGGGCGUAAGCCUGAACCAGCCAAGUCGCGUGAGGGAUGACGGUUCUAUGGAUCGUAAACCUCUUUUGUCGGGGAGUAAAGUGUGGGACGUGUCCUGUGUUGUAUGUACCUUAUGAAUAAGGAUCGGCUAACUCCGUGCCAGCAGCCGCGGUAAUCCGGAGGGUCCGAGCGUUAUCCGGAUUUAUUGGGUUUAAAGGGUGCGUCGGGGGCAGUUUAAGGCAGCGGGGAAAUUCGGGGGGCCAAACCUCGAACUGCCGUUGAAACUGGGUGGCUUGAGUAUGCGAGAGGCAGGCGGAAUGCGUGGUGUAGCGGUGAAAUGCAUAGAUAUCACGCAGAACCCCGAUUGCGAAGGCAGCAUGCCAGGGCACAACUGACGCUGAUGCACGAAAGCGUGGGGAUCAAACAGGAUUAGAUACCCUAGUAGUC
rnacentral:rRNA from 1 species